rnacentral:rRNA from 1 species
AUUGAACGCUGGCGGCAGGCUUAACACAUGCAAGUCGAGCGGGGUGAUGGUGCUUGCACUAUCGCUUAGCGGCGGACGGGUGAGUAAUGCUUAGGAAUCUGCCUAUUAGUGGGGGACAACAUCUCGAAAGGGAUGCUAAUACCGCAUACGUCCUACGGGAGAAAGCAGGGGAUCACUUGUGACCUUGCGCUAAUAGAUGAGCCUAAGUCGGAUUAGCUGGUUGGUGGGGUAAAGGCCUACCAAGGCGACGAUCUGUAGCGGGUCUGAGAGGAUGAUCCGCCACACUGGGACUGAGACACGGCCCAGACUCCUACGGGAGGCAGCAGUGGGGAAUAUUGGACAAUGGGGGGAACCCUGAUCCAGCCAUGCCGCGUGUGUGAAGAAGGCCUUAUGGUUGUAAAGCACUUUAAGCGAGGAGGAGGCUCUUUUGGUUAAUACCCAAGAUGAGUGGACGUUACUCGCAGAAUAAGCACCGGCUAACUCUGUGCCAGCAGCCGCCGUAA